rnacentral:rRNA from 1 species
UACGUAGGGUGCAAGCGUUAAUCGGAAUUUACUGGGCGUAAAGCGUGCGCAGGCGGUCUGUUAAGACCGAUGUGAAAUCCCCGGGCUUAACCUGGAACUGCAUUGGUGACUGCAUUGCUGGAGUAUGGCAGAGGGGGUGGAAUUCCACGUGUAGCAGUGAAAUGCGUAGAGAAUGUGGAGGAACACCGAUGGCGAAGGCAGCCCCUGGGC